rnacentral:ncRNA from 3 species
AAAGAGAAAGGUGAUGGCGUUCACCUCUAACUGCCGUAAAGGCUGAUGACGCCUGUUUUCAG